rnacentral:rRNA from 1 species
GACGAACGCUGGCGGCGUGCUUAACACAUGCAAGUCGAACGGAAAGGCCCUGCUUUUGUGGGGUGCUCGAGUGGCGAACGGGUGAGUAACACGUGAGUAACCUGCCCUUGACUUUGGGAUAACUUCAGGAAACUGGGGCUAAUACCGGAAAGGAGCUCCUGCUGCCUGGUGGGGGUUGGAAAGUUUCGGCGGUUGGGGAUGGACUCGCGGCUUCUCAGCUUGUUGGUGGGGUAGUGGCUUACCAAGGCUUUGACGGGUAGCCGGCCUGUGAGGGUGACCGGCCAAAUUGGGACUGAGAUACGGCCCCGACUCCUCCUGGAGGCAGCAGUGGAGAAUAUUGCACAAUGGGCGGAAGCAUGUUGCAACAACGCCGCGCGAGGGAUGACGGCCUUCGGGUUGUAAACCGCUUUCCCCUGUGACGAAGCGUGAGUGACGGUAAUGGGUAAAGAAGCACCGGCUAACUACGUG